AGAAUCAACGCUGGCGGCGUGCCUAACACAUGCAAGUCGAGCGCGAAAGGGGGGGUAACUCCCCAAGUAGAGCGGCGAACGGGUGAGUAACGCGUGGGUAAUCUACCUUCGAGUGGGGAAUAACCCCGGGAAACUGGGGCUAAUACCGCAUGACAUCUUUGGGCCUUCGGGUCCGAUGAUCAAAGCCGGGGACCGCAAGGCCUGGCGCUUGAAGACGAGCCCGCGUCCGAUUAGCUAGUUGGCGGGGUAAUGGCCCACCAAGGCUUCGAUCGGUA
rnacentral:rRNA from 1 species